ACUAACGGCCAUACGACUUAGGACCACUACCGGUUCUCGUCCGAUCACCGAAGUCAAGCUAAGUUCGGCGCGGAUAGUACUUGGAUGGGUGACCGCUUGGGAACUCCGCGUGCUGUUAGUU